AAGGGCACCACAAGAACGCGUGGAGCAUGUGGCUUAAUUUGACUCAACGCGGGAAAUCUUACCGGGUCCGGACACACUGAGGAUUGACAGGCAAUAUUAUAAUUUUUUAAUUGAAAUAAAUUUUUAUUAAUUUAUUUUUUUUAUUUUUUAUAUGUUAAAUAUGCUAGUCCUUUCAUGAUUAUGUGAUAGGUGGUGCAUGGCCGUUCUUAGUUCGUGGAGUGAUCUGUCUGCUUAAUUGCGUUUCACUAUUGGGCUUAUAUAAUUACGUAUGUUGUUAACGCUUUGACCCCUUUCUACGGAUUGUGCGUGUCUUUGUCUCGUUUAACUCAUACAAUUAAGCCCUGAAAGCAACGAACGUGACCGCAACCUCUUGUUGCUCUCAUAUUACCUUAUACUGCAUAAUAUUUGAAUAAUUUAUUUUAUUUUUUUUUAUGUUUAAGAGAGCUUUCUAAACUAGAGGAACCGCUGUUACUUUCUUAAACCAGAGGAAGGUUGCGGCAAUAACAGGUCUGUGGUGCCCUUAGAUGUUCCGGGCUGCACACGUGCUACAAUGAUUAUUGCAGUGAGCAUCUCAUUUUUUACACAUCGCAUGCGCGAGUCCAUUUAUUCAGAUAUCUUUCAUUUACUUUCGGGGGAAUGUAGUGUUUGCUUUAAAUGUGUAUCUCUGCGCGCGAUAAAGCCUGCUUCGAAAGUAAGUGGGUAAUCAAUUAGAAGUAAUGAUUUCCUUUUUUUUCUGCACACAUAUAUAUGGCACUUAUACCCGGGUAACCUUGUUGUUACUUUUGUGCGUAUACGUGAUAAUCUUUACCGAUUAUACUACCAUAUGUGCAAUUGUCAAUUCAUGGUGGGGACAGACCAUUGUUAAUUGUUGGUCUCGGUCUUAACUAGGAAUGCCUUGUACGGAUCUUUGGUUCAACAAACCAUCCGGAAUACGUCCCUGCCCUUUGUACACACCGCCCGUC
rnacentral:rRNA from 1 species